UAUCGGGGAAUACCUGUAUAGCCACACGAGGAAGGCGCUGCUUCGCGUUCACAUGAAAAUGUGGUAGUGUGAAAUCAAGUUUGCAAGCGGUAGGACGCGUCGGUGUGUGUCCGUUUUUUCUCUCGUGAAACCAGUACGGAAAAACUAUUUGAAAUCGUAACACACGCACGAACGGAAGUGAGCACGGACCACAACAGAAGCAAUAUUCAAUUGGUUGGAGUGCCGAAAACAGAACAGGAGAGGAAAGAAGGCAGGAACGAUCCGAUCCUCCAACGUGCUAGAGCCUGGUAGAGGAGAGGCGGCAGGAAGGUAGGGACGAUUAUCCAGCACGCUAGCGCAGCAUCUGGGAACAGCGAGGGGGAGGCAAGCAGGAAGAAUUUUUAACGCGUGCACACCAUUCGACGAAGCCAACGCUGGAUGAAAGGAAGAACGAGGAGAGAAGGCAGGCAAGACGGGUACGUGUGUGUCCCGCAACGGGUUUUCGGCAGUGUGAAAUGUGAGUAUUGAAAAGUGUAUGUGUGAGUAGAGGUAAAGAGGUAAAAUAAAGAGCGAAUGUGUGGAAUGGGAAAAUGAAAGAGAGUCUGUGUUUGUUUUGGGAGAAAGGAGAGAAUGAAAGAAAUUGAACAAUAAUGUAGCAUACAGAAACCACAUGUAUGAUACACGCUGUCACACCGUUGCAGAGACGUGCUCUUUAGUGCUGCUAAUGAGCACGAUUUGAGAACGUUUUGAGCCCGUUUUUUCUCAUACAAAAUUUUAAAAUGUCGCGCGAUAAUGUCGGUU